rnacentral:rRNA from 1 species
AGCGAACGCUGGCGGCAGGCCUAACACAUGCAAGUCGAACGAAGUCUUCGGACUUAGUGGCGGACGGGUGAGUAACACGUGGGAACGUGCCUUUAGGUUCGGAAUAACUCAGGGAAACUUGUGCUAAUACCGAAUGUGCCCUUCGGGGGAAAGAUUUAUCGCCUUUAGAGCGGCCCGCGUCUGAUUAGCUAGUUGGUGAGGUAAAGGCUCACCAAGGCGACGAUCAGUAGCUGGUCUGAGAGGAUGAUCAGCCACAUCGGGACUGAGACACGGCCCAGACUCCUACGGGAGGCAGCAGUGGGGAAUCUUGCGCAAUGGGCGAAAGCCUGACGCAGCCAUGCCGCGUGAAUGAUGAAGGUCUUAGGAUUGUAAAAUUCUUUCACCGGGGACGUUAAUGACGGUACCCGGAGAAGAAGCCCCGGCUAACUUCGUGCCAGCCGCCGCCGUAA